rnacentral:rRNA from 1 species
AUGGACAACUCUCAGAGUCAGCCAUUACCUCCUGGUGUUGGAGCAUGGCAGCCGCCACCUUCAAAUCAUCCUCCACAAUUUCAGCAUCCUCCACAAUUUCAGCAUCCCUCACAAUUUCAACCUACCCCACGCCCACAUGCUUAUCCAACACCAUAUGACACCAGACCCAAUGGUGGUAGCAAUCAAAAUGGAGCAACCAUGUACUAUGCAACACAACCUUUUCAUCCUAGUCCACAUCCACAUGCUUAUCCAACACCAUACGACACCAGGCCCAAUAAUGGCAACAAUCAAAAUACAGCAGGAACAUUCUAUGCUACACAACCUAGCAUGCUUUUUGCUCCCGCUCAAAGUACUCCUAGUGUCACCACAGAAGCUGGGAAUGGACAACCAGAUCUCAAGGCCCAUCAGACUGCUCACGAGGUUGCCAACCAUAACGCAAAUGCAGCAAACAUCGAAUCUGCUGUCCAAGAGGCUGUUCUUCACGAACAGGACAUUGAGACGCAGCAAGUAAUACAAAAUCAAAGGCAAGCAAAAUCAACAAAUGACCCUGCAGAAUAUGGGGAAGACAUACUUUCGAGCCGGCGCGACCCUAAUGCACUGAAGGAACACUUGCUGAAGAUGACGGUUGACCAUCGUGCAGAGAUGGCAAAUAAAAGGGGAAAGUCACUUCAUCCAGAUAAUGGCAAUGUUGAAAUUGGCAAUGGCUAUGGUGUACCAGGAGGCGGUGCUUAUCAUGCUGGAAAUUUGUCAAGUGCUCAAAUGAAUAAACCAAAAGAUGAUGCUGAGAAAGCGAAAGGUGAUGACGGUCUCCCCGAGUUUCUGAAGCAGAGGUUAAAAGCAAGGGGAAUUCUUAAAGACAAGGCAGCAAAUGAUAGCAGCAUGGCUAAACAAAAUGCAGAUUCUCAAGAAGGCCACAACAAAUCAGCCCAAGAGUUACCUCCUGGUUGGGCUGAGACGAAGGAUCCAACGACUGGUGCUUCUUAUUUCUACAACCAAAGCACCGGAGUGACCCAAUGGGAUCGUCCUGGUGGUACCGUGAAUACUGUGCAGCAUCAACCUGCUCCAUCAUUGCCAGAAAAUUGGGAGGAGGCACUUGACAAAUCAACAGGCCAGAAAUACUACUAUAACACAAAGACACAGGCAACACAGUGGGAGCCACCUACUUCUGUGAACCCAGUUAUUGUGCCACAAGCAUCCACCCUUGUUGCAGUUCAGCCUACCACUCAAAAUACUGAUCUUUGGAACCCUCACAUACAAAGAUGUUCAGGCUGUGGUGGCUGGGGAGUCGGUCUUGUCCAGCCGUGGGGAUAUUGCAAUCACUGCACAAGGGUUCAAAAUCUGCCUUUUCAACAGUAUCCGUCUUACUCGAACAAUAUCGUGCCCUCAAGUGUCGCCAAUGCUCCCAAAAGUCAAGGAAACAUUGCAGCUAAGGACAGAUCAAGUUCAAAACCCCCUUCAGGAAAAAUAAACAAAAAAGAUAACCGAAAAAGAGGCCGCGCUGAGGAGGAUGAGCUUGACCCAAUGGAUCCAAGCUCUUACUCAGAUGCUCCACGGGGUGGCUGGGUUGUUGGCCUGAAGGGUGUACAGCCACGAGCAGCGGAUACAACUGCAUCUGGCCCUCUGUUCCAACAAAGACCGUAUCCCUCACCUGGCGCCGUGUUGAGGAAAAAUGCGGAGGCGGCAUCCGGCGGCGGCAAGAAACGCGGUGGUAUGGCUGCGAUCAGCAAAAGAGGGGAUGGGAGUGAUGGGCUUGGGGAAGCGGAUUAA